CCAUAAACAAAAAUAAUUAGUAAACAAAAUUAUUCGCCAGAGUACUACAAGCAACAGCUCAAAACUCAAAGGACUUGGCGGUGCUUUAUACCCCUCUAGAGGAGCCUGUUCUAUAAUCGAUAAACCCCGAUAAACCUCACCACCCCUUGCUAAUUCAACCUAUAUACCGCCAUCCUCAGCAAACCCUGCUAAGGACUUAAAGUAAGCAAGAUACUUACACACUAAAACGUUAGGUCAAGGUGUAGUCUAUGGGACGGGAAGAAAUGGGCUACAUUUCCUACGCCCAUAGGACACAAACGCUAGCCCCAUGAAACACAAGGCAAAAGGCGGAUUUAGUAGUAAACCAAGAAUAGAGAGCCUGAUUGAAUUGGGCAAUGAAGC
rnacentral:rRNA from 1 species